GAUGAACGCUGGCGGCGUGCCUAAUACAUGCAAGUCGAGCGAACAGACGAGGAGCUUGCUCCUCUGACGUUAGCGGCGGACGGGUGAGUAACACGUGGAUAACCUACCUAUAAGACUGGGAUAAAUUCGGGAAACCGGAGCUAAUACCGGAUAACAUGUUGAACCGCAUGGUUCAACAGUGAAAGACGGUCUUGCUGUCACUUACAGAUGGAUCCGCGCCGCAUUAGCUAGUUGGUAAGGUAACGGCUUACCAAGGCAACGAUGCGUAGCCGACCUGAGAGGGUGAUCGGCCACACUGGAACUGAGACACGGUCCAGACUCCUACGGGAGGCAGCAGUAGGGAAUCUUCCGCAAUGGGCGAAAGCCUGACGGAGCAACGCCGCGUGAGUGAAGAAGGUCUUCGGAUCGUAAAACUCUGUUAUUAGGGAAGAACAAAUGUGUAAGUAACUAUGCACGUCUUGACGGUACCUAAUCAGAAAGCCACGGCUAACUACGUG
rnacentral:rRNA from 1 species